UAUAUUAUUUGCCUAAUCAAAAUAUAUUAAAUCCAACAAAACCCAAAUAUGUUUAACAAAUGUAACGUAAAAUCAGUUAAUUGAGUCCCCUGUGCCACUCUUCAACCCAAAAUGAACAAGUUGAACUACGUAAGCAUGCGUGGGAGUUCACACUCCCUGACCUUGCCAAGCAGUAAGCGUCCACCAUUUCCAGCCUCUGCUUAAGACAGCAAGAGUGGCGUGUCGGGUGCAAGUUUUAUUUCUGGUUAUCUCAUGCUGUGCAGUUUUUUGCAGUUACAAAGCUCUUCUUGGCAACCUCUUAGUGAUAGAUAAUGUAUGUGGACGUGUAAAGAGUGCAGUUUAGACUUAGCUACCAGGUACUUGUUGUUGCAACAUUUUAGGCAGGCCCAUGGGAAUCUGCGGGGUAGUUGUAGAUAUCUUUGUCCAUACACAGAUUGUCCAUGUACAUUUCAUACAUGGAGUAAGCUACUAAAUCACAUUUUAUAAAAAUCAUUCUAAUCGGCAGUCUCCAAAGGAAGUAGGAGCCUCUACAUUCCAAUGUCAUGUGUGCUCAUGUAGAGAACUAGUUCCAUGUGUGUUUCUAGGAUAUACAUUUGAAACAAAUGUUUAUAGUACAUUCAACACACACACAAAAACAGGAAACACAACCAGCAUUCAUUAAAAGAUUUUAAAGCUCAUGUCCUCAGUACAAACACUCAGUUAGAUCAGUCAGACUAUUCAGUAAAAACUCAAAUGCCCCAAAACCCCAAAUUCAUCCAUAGUCUCAUCCUGCAGUGAUGACACCUUGUGCACAUCAACCCCACAUUCAUCUCCAGAAGUCCAGCUCUCGGGAUUGUCCUCCUGGCCUUGAGUUUUUGUCAUCCCAAAGUUCACUUACGAGGCUGAAUUUGAACUACAGCAAAAAAAAAUGCAGAGUUUGAGAGAAAUGGAACAUACUUCACCCCUGGCCCAAAGCUGAAAGGAGUCAUCCUUGAUAGCCUAGCUCAAGAAAUUAUGAAGUACACAAAAUACCCAAAAGACUAUCAAUGUGAAGAGGUUGCGGAAGCUUUGAGGAGUGCCCAUCCUUGUUUGGCACAGCUGGGAACCAAGACAGGCUUUUGGGAUUGGCAGCAGUCACUUCAGUAUAAAGUGCAAAACUAUCGAACAAAACUCGGACGACUUCGACAUCCUGAAAUCCGUGUAAACUCCUUGAAGCACAAACGAGAAGGCCGAGGCAAAGCUGCAGUCAACAUAAAAAACAAACAAACAAGAAAAGCUGAAGUUAACUACAUUCCUCUGCACCCAAAAGGUGAAACUGCAGAAAGCUUGGAGAAUGAGAGAAUCACUUUAUUGUCAGAACUGAAAAAGCGUGACAAUGAAGUGGUGAUAAAAGCAAAAAUGGAGAAGACCUACUCACACAGAUGCUUGGAGUUUGUGGAGCAGAGGCCAGUGAUAGGAGACUUCAAAGACAGAUGGCCUGCCCUCUUCCAGGAAAGUGGAGUGCCGUGAAAAGAUGGAGAGUUAACAGCAUAACCUAUGACAUAGAGCGGUCCCAUGUCUGAUCACUUAAAGCAUGUUUCAGGAAGAGCAGGCGGUGGAGGGAGAGGGAGGUAGUGGUAGCUCCAGGCAGUCCAGAUUCUUUUCGAUUAGUUUAGUGGAUUGUGUUAUAUGCGUCAAACUUAAAAACCCAGUACAAUUAUAUUAAUGCAGUCAUAAAAAAUUUAUUAUGGAAUGUUAAUGUCAGGAGAGUCAUAGUUUCAACUUCAGAUGUAUAAUUUCAUUUGUUAAUUUAUUUGUUAUAACUGUUUUAGAGCACCCUCUCUGAGCACAGCCAAAUCUCAGUAUGUCGAGGGGCCAAUGCCCUUCUGAAUGGAGAGUUAGAAUCUAUGGAUGUUUUUGCACAAAUAAAAUUAACUAAACUGUU